rnacentral:lncRNA from 1 species
UGAAGGGCAUGGAAAACAGUUUGAGUGUGCUGUGCAAAUGGGUGUGUAUGAUAAAUGACCCUCAUUUAGUCAAUACUGAUGGCGGCUGAGUCCUCCUUUCAAUUUAAUCCUUAUGUAAAACUGGCCUGUCCCAGGGAAGACUGGCCACGGUGGCGUGGCACUGUAGGGCAGAGUCCUUUGUGCAGAAGAAAUAAUGAACCACUGUGUGAUGGGAGCCGCUCCAUUAUUUAUGCUGUCCUCAGUUUACCUGUGUGUAGGGUGUAAAGACGAUGCAAGGUACUUGCACUUCUUGAUUGGUUUCCCAAGUUGUUUCUUUGCUCAGCUCUGGAAGUACACUGUUUCCUUAAGGUAUGAAGAAGUGGUUUUGAGAAGUAUCUUUCCCUUCCCUCCCUCGCUCUCUGAGACAUCCAGGAUGGAAGAGGCACCGGCUAUUGUGAGAGGCACAGCCCCAUCAUCCCACUGAGCACAGACAUCUGAAUGACGUUGCAUUUACCAUGUGAAAUGUGACUAUUUCCACUCCUCCCUUAAAGGAUGAACAGGAGCUCCCUGGCAAGGAUGGAAGGCAUUAGCUACAACAGGGAUACUGUGGGGAGGAAUAAAAGCAAGGACAUGCACA